rnacentral:misc_RNA from 1 species
UCCGAGUUGACCCCGGCAGUCUCCUGCGAGUCCCCGCCAUUACGCGCUGGCAACACAGGACAAGGGUUGCGCUCGUUGCGGGACUUAACCCAACAUCUCACGACACGAGCUGACGACAGCCAUGCAGCACCUUGCUUUGUGCCCCGAAGGGAAGCCUCCUUUCAGAGGCGGUCACUCGCAUUCUAGCCCUAGUAAGGUUCCUCGCGUACCAUCGAAUUAAACCACAUGCUCCACCGCUUGUGCAGGCCCCCGUCAAUUUCUUUGAGUUUUAACCUUGCGGCCGUACUCCCCAGGCGGAUGACUUAACGCGUUAGCUGCGCCACCGAAACGCUAAGCGCCCCGACAGCUAGUCAUCAUCGUUUACGGCGUGGACCAC